ensembl:lncRNA
CACUACUACUGCUGUCCACUUUACACAACUACUGCUGUCCAGGUUUACACUACUACUGCUGUCCAGGUUUACACUACUACUGCUGUCCAGGUUUACACUACUACUGCUGUCCAGGUUUACACUGCUAUUGCUGUCCAGGUUUACACUACUACUGCUGUCCAGGUUUACACUGCUACUGCUGUCAAGGUUUACACUGCUACUGCUGUCAAGGUUUACACUGCUACUGCUGUCCAGGUUUACACUGCUACUGCUGUCCAGGUUUACACUGCUACUGCUGUCCAGGUUUACUACAACUACUGCUGUCCAGGUUUACACUGCUACUACUGCUGUCCAGGUUUACACAACUCCUGCUGUCCAGGUUUACACUACUACUACUG